CAGUGGAAUACAAUAGGGUGUAAGCUGUCUGUGGUUCUGUGUACUGGCAUUCGUAUUUCUGGGGGUGGAAUAAAGUUGGUGAAUUGAUUGCUUCUGUCAUAAAAUGUGACUCAACUUUACAGCUCUGGUGGGAUGUUAAGUGAUUAAAAUUGGUUUAUAAGGAUGUUGGUUUAUAAGGAGUUGGUUUAUAAGGAUGAAGGCCAUGUGAUGAGGAGGCCUGUGCAGCCCUGAAGCCAGAAGACAGCCGGUUCCCCUUCUCAGUACAGAUGCCUAAAGACAGAAACUCUCGUCUCUCGAGAGCAGCAGUGUGGAGGAAGAUGGCACACCAGUUCUAAAUUCAGAAAUGAUACUCUGAAAACAAAACCAGACUGGAGAAAGAAGAGAACAUAACUGGAGAAAACUGAAGUAAACAGAACUGGUUUGGGGGAGGAAUCUGUUAAACAAUAUGACAUCCAAAUAGGGAAGGAAAUGUACGAGUUACAAAAUGGAUGAUGAGGGCUUUUUCAGAGUGGAAGCACAGAGUAUAAGAGCAGCUGUAUUUUGGACAUACUGCAGUGAUGGAAGAUGAAUUUCACCCUGAGUUUCUACUGAGAGAUCUUCAUUGGUGGAAAAGCAAUUUAUGGGAUCCAAAAA